rnacentral:misc_RNA from 1 species
GAUGAAGAACGUAGCGAAAUGCGAUACGUAAUGUGAAUUGCAGAAUUCAGUGAAUCAUCGAACCUUUGAACGCAUAUUGCGCUCUCUGGUAUUCCGGAGAGCAUGCUUGUUUGAGUAUCAGUAAACACCUCAACUCUUUUUUCUUUUUUGAAAUUGGAGCUGGACUUGAGUGAUCCCAACGCUUUCUUCCAAGAAAGUGGCGGGUUGCUUGAAAUGCAGGUGCAGCUGAACUUUUCUCUGAGCUAUAAGCAUAUCUAUUUAGUCUGCCUAAAAAACAGAUUAUUACCUUUGCUGCAGCUAACAUAAAGGAGACUAGUUCUUGUGCUGACUGAUGCAGGAUUCACAGAGACAGCUUCGGCUGACUUUGUAAACUCGAUCUCAAAUCAAGUAAGACUACCCGCUGAACUUAAGCAUAUCAAUAAGCGGAGGA